AGUGAACGCUGGCGGCGUGCUUAACACAUGCAAGUCGAGCGAAUUUCGGCAGUGUAUCGCCGGAGUUAGCGGCAGACGGGUGAGUAAUAUUUAAACAAUCUUCCCUCGAGUGGGAAACAACCUGACGAAAGUCGGGCUAAUGCCCCAUAAGACCACAUUCUGGCAUCAGAGAGAGGUCAAAGGACCCGCCAAGGACCGGCUGGAGGAGGAGUUUAGAUCCUAUCAUGGAGUUGGUGAGGUAACGGCUCACCAAGCCUACGA
rnacentral:rRNA from 1 species